AUUUAAUUCAAGAUUUUAUUUCUCUUUGAUGGUUUCUUUAGAAACUUAAAAAAAAUAAAUACUGACAAAAGAUAUUACGGUCAGAAUAUCCUCUAAUUAUCCUUAAGUAUUUAGGAUUUAUUUAAAUUAGAAAUAGUACAAUCAUACUCCUAUUAGAUGUCAAUAAAAAACUACAAGAAUGUAAAUGUUUGUAAUUUAGAGGACUGAGUCUUUAAUGAAUUUGGAAAUGUUAACAUUCCUCAGACUGUUUGUUUAAUCAUUCAGUAACUUUUUAUGAUUCUUAAUUCUCUUUGAAAACCUCCAAAUUAGUAUUAGACUUACACUGUGUCCAAGGGAAAUAAAUUAUUAAACUUUAAUUUGAUGUCACAAACACAUUCUUCCUUACUGUAUUUUGACAAGAUCACCUUGAAAUUAUUUGUUUUUCACAACAUUAGGAGUUAUAAUAU
rnacentral:lncRNA from 1 species